ensembl:snoRNA
ACCUGUUUAUGGUUCAUAACCAUUGAUGGCUGGGUUUUCCUGCCAUUGUCUGAGACAAGCCUCUCUCAAAUUUUGUUUUGAUGUCAGCACUAACUAUUUGACA